AAAGCGUGCGCAGGCGGUUAUGUAAGACAGUUGUGAAAUCCCCGGGCUCAACCUGGGAACCGCAUCUGUGACUGCAUAGCUAGAGUACGGUAGAGGGGGAUGGAAUUCCGCGUGUAGCAGUGAAAUGCGUAGAUAUGCGGAGGAACACCGAUGGCGAAGGCAAUCCCCUGGACCUGUACUGACGCUCAUGCACGAAAGCGUGGGGAGCAAACAGGAUUAGAUACCCUUGU
rnacentral:rRNA from 1 species